rnacentral:rRNA from 1 species
CAGUAGCCGCGGGAAUACGAAGGGGGCUAGCGUUGCUCGGAAUCACUGGGCGUAAAGCGCACGUAGGCGGAUCGUUAAGUCAGAGGUGAAAGCCUGGAGCUCAACUCCAGAACUGCCUUUGAUACUGGCGAUCUCGAGUCCGGAAGAGGUAAGUGGAACUGCGAGUGUAGAGGUGAAAUUCGUAGAUAUUCGCAAGAACACCAGUGGCGGAGGCGGCUUACUGGUCCGGUACUGACGCUGAGGUGCGAAAGCGUGGGGAGCGAACAGGAUUAGAUACCCGCGUAGUCCCUGUCUCUUAUAC